GACGAACGCUGGCGGCGUGCUUAACACAUGCAAGUCGAACGGAAAGGCCCUUCGGGGUACUCGAGUGGCGAAGGGGUGAGUAACACGUGGGCGAUCUGCUCUGCACUCUGUGAUAAGCCUGGGACACUGGGUCUAAUACCGAAUAUGCUCAUCGGCUUCCUGGUCGGUUGUGGCAAGCGUUUGCGGUGUGGGAUGGGUCCGCUGUCUAUCAGCUUGUUGGUGGGGUAAUGGCCUCCCAAGGCGACGACGGGUAGCCGGCCCGAGAGGGUGACCGGCCACAAUGGGACUGAGAGACGGCCCAGACGCCUACGGGAGGCAGCAGGGGGGAAUAUGGCGCAAUGGGCGCAAGCCUGAUGCAGCGACGCCGCGUGAGGGAUGACGGCUUUCGGGGUGUAAACCUCUGUCAGCGCAGACGAAGCGCAAGUGACGGUAUGUGCAGAAGAAGGACCGGCCAACUACGUG
rnacentral:rRNA from 1 species